UGACAGGCAGGGCUGGGGCGGCCGGAGAACAUGGCGAGACCUGAGGGCUAUCGCCGAGGCGCUGUGGGGCUGUGGCCUGCGUCCCUUUUUCCGAGCUGUGAGGGGAAUCAGGAGUGCAGGGCUUUGGAUGUGCGGCUUUCACUCCCUCCCCUCAGAUUUGCUGUGUAUGUCUCAUCGCACUGGGUUUACACGGUGUCUGGCAGCUCUUUGUGACGAUCAGAGCCUUUUCCAGCCCCUCGAGAGAUGUGGAAGUUAAGCACAGAAAGAUGAAGUUGUUUGUUCCAGGUCAUCCAACAAAGCAGUGGCAGACAAAAAAAAUAGAAGUGAAUCCUUCAGUGCUUUUUCUGUUGCAUCACUCUGUCUUCCUGUUUUGAUGAAAACUUCUAAAAUGUCAUUUUCAUAGGGGCCUGACAUAUGUUUGCAGUAAACCUCAUCUUUGCACUGUUUUUUCAAAGAAGAUGUGAAAUUUGAGAGCAGUUGUGUUUCCUACCUUAUGCACAUGUGAGAAACUGCAGAGGAAAUUAUAUUCCUAUAGUUUAGAGGACAAAAAUUAGGAGACAUGACUGUCCCUCAAGGUGCUCUCUCCAUAAAUCUGGAUUUAUUGCUUGAUGUCUUUAUUUGUUAUGUACAAUAUGUUGAUAAAAUUAUUACUUCCACAA